AUAUAGCCCCGGGCGCAGCGGUAUCCCCGAAGCGCAGCUAGGGAUAUAGCGAAACACGGGAACCGAC
rnacentral:sRNA from 1 species